rnacentral:lncRNA from 1 species
AAAACCACCCUGGGGUGUCUGGCAGGCGGGUGUUUUGUGACUAGCACCCACAGGACGCACGCUGAAUGAAGGGGUGUUCAGGAGGCCUGGCUGUGCUGCCAAACAGCCCUUUAAGAGCAGAGGCUCCACCAGGAGGCUGGGCCUUGUGCACCAGCACUCUGGGAGUUGGGAGGUUUCAACCAGGGGCAGGUCUUGCAACCUUCUGACUGUCAGUAUGAAAACCUGAGGCGCCCCAGGCACAGGGAGGUGCUGGCACCAUGGCCAUUUCCACAGCCUCUCAGUGAGGGAGAUGCCAGCACUGUGCUUCUCUGGUUUUGCCUUCCUGUGAGGAAACCAGGCCCCUUCUGUGCUUCUGCUCCUUCAGGGCAGCCUCUGCUGACAGCGAAAUCCUUGUGGGGCCCCUCAUCACAUAUUUCAUGGUGGCCCAUGUGAACAUAAGAGUGUUGAAACAGCUUUCCAGUGAUGUCAUACAAUGACACUUUCCUGAGUGUUUCCUAAUGUCUAGAGAGAGACGAGCAGAAGGAAUGGGGGAAGAAAAAGUCCAGGGAUCCUUGGCCCAAACUGACAACCUUCAUUCAAAGCCACUAUCUGAAGGGAAGAGAGACGAAUCUAAAGAAUCUCUGUCAAAUGUGUUCAGAAAUGAUGCAGCUGAUCAGCAGUUUAACCUUGAAGCUGCAAUUAAAAAUGUUGGCAAAAUGUCUGAUGAGCUAAAGAAACUAAAUGUGGAAAGCCAGCUGCUGCUUUGUGACCUUAUUUUGAAUUUCAACCAUCCCCUGAAGGCCAAAGAUUUAAGAGAAGCUGAAGAAAAAACUCGGAGUUUGACAGAUUAA